rnacentral:rRNA from 1 species
GUAGGUGGCAAGCGUUGUCCGGAAUUAUUGGGCGUAAAGCGCGCGCAGGCGGUUCUUUAAGUCUGAUGUGAAAGCCCACGGCUCAACCGUGGAGGGUCAUUGGAAACUGGAGAACUUGAGUACAGAAGAGGAAAGCGGAAUUCCACGUGUAGCGGUGAAAUGCGUAGAGAUGUGGAGGAACACCAGUGGCGAAGGCGGCUUUCUGGUCUGUAACUGACGCUGAGGCGCGAAAGCGUGGGGAGCAAACAGGAUUAGAUACCCUGGUAGUCCACGCCGUAAACGAUGAGUGCUAAGUGUUAGGGGGUUUCCGCCCCCCUUAGUGCUGCAGCUAACGCGUUAAGCACUCGCCUGGGGAUACGGCCGCAAGGCUG